UAUAUUAAUAUUAAAUAAUUGAUUCUAAAAUAAUAUAAUAAAAUUAUCAAAAAAUUUUAAAAUAAGAUAAUUCUUAUAUAUAUUUUGUUGUUAUCUGAAGACAAUAUUUUUAUUAUAAAAGUUAAAAAGAAACAAAAAAUUAUAAUUAAAUAUUAUUCAAGAAAAAAUAUUUAUAUAAUGAUAUUUUCUAAACUAUUUCUAAGAUAUGAGUGUUUAAAAAACUUUUAACACGGGAUGUUUAGAAUACAGAAUUAUGCUUAUGAGAGAGUGGCUCGGGAAUGAGCUUCAAGAUGGGUCGAAUGGGCUCUGAAAAUAGCUUUUUAUUUUGACGCAAGCCCAGUCCGGAUGACAUGGCAUCUUGGUUGGUUCAUAAUAUUUUAUCCAUGUGGCAUGGCUUAGAAAGAAGGGAUUUAGUCCCUUUUAUAUAGUAGGAUUAGUAUGGAUAAUCAGAGCUCUGCUAGAUAUGAUGAAUGAGAAGUGGGCAUAACAACAAGGAAGCUAGAGUGUGUGGUCUACUGACAUUUUUUCUUUUCUUAUGCUGUUUGUCACUGUACCACUAGUUUUAUGUUUCGAAGAAGAGGAAACCACCCCGUCCGUCACCAAAUUUGAAGUCUGGGAGGAAUGAGAAACACACGUGAAGGUGGCUGGAGAAAGGUCUCCUGGAGACAAAGGCACUUUGGACAGUUACUUGAAAGCAUCUUCCCUGGAUGACAAGAACACUACUUACUACCAAGUACCAACAGUGUGUUGCAGGCAAGGCAGCAAGCGUUUACAAAAAAAAAAAAAAUUGGGAUUAUGACUUUGUCCCAGGAAUGAGCAUAUCCUAUUGUCCCAAUUAUCAAAGAGCACCCCACUUUGGCAAAGCUCUCGAAUGGAUCAAUUUGUUCGCUUGCUUAAGCACGCAAAGGUACACUUUGCAUGGCCACUGGCUUCAAACGUCGACAGCAACUGGGCGGCUUUCCAUAGAAGAAGAGCCAAGUAUGACUUCUUUUGAUUUCUUUGUUCCUACUCUCAGGUAAAUUUUCCAUGUUUCUAAAAGUUCAAGUCAAAAGACGUGACAUAUCUCUAAAACGAGUUCUGCAAGUGAAAGCAUUUAUGAAGAAGACUCAAUAAUGAUAUUUUUCACCACAUGAAAAUUGGUUACUCUUGACGGCAGAUUGAUUAUUCACAGAUAGCACAUUUUUUCUAGAGAUUCCUCGUUGAUUGCACAGCCUUAGUCAGCCAGAAGGUGAUGUCUUUACAAAUGAUGGUCCACAUGAUAGAGAUCAGACCAAAAGAUUGAUUUAUGGAAUGGGUGCCAACAGGCUUGCCGAACAGCUUGAAUGCAGCUCAGAUGAAGAAGCCAAGGAGAAAAUUAGAAGCUUUUUAAAAAUUCUUUCCCUGCAGUCACGUCUUGGCUUAACGAAACAGUUUCAUUUUUGCCAGGAAAAAGGGUGAGUAUGCUACACUUAUCUUCAUUAAUGCUUCUUAUAUUACACUUAGAUUUUGAUUAAUUUGUUUUUAUUUCUUUGGAUGUGCUUUACUUCUUUAUAUUGUUGCCCACUCUUUAUAUUGUUUCGGUUUUUUUUCUUAAGUUGUUAAUUUUCAUACUUCUUCCUGCAAGUUGAUGAUUGUUCAUAUUGUCUAUAUAGCUCAUUAAAGUAAUGAUGGGACCAUUCAUUAUGCAGGUACAUGAUGAACUCGUGCUGGAAGUUGAUCCUUUCUUACGCCAAAGAAGCUGGUAUUGUUGCUGCAAUCCAGCAUGGAAAAUGCGGUUUCACUUCUCGUCCCUCUACAUGUGAAACUGAAGAUUGGGAAAAACAUGGGGGUUCUUUAGAGCCGCUUCAGGCUCUGAUGAUUAAAGACAUCGGCAAAAAUCUCAGUGUCUUUUAAAUCUCAAUUUAAGAGCCUCGGAUUUUGUUUGAGCAACUCGCUCACAUGUUGUAUUUGAUGGCUCAAAAAUCAAAAUGCUCCCCACAUCCAUGGAUUGACUCAGUGAGAUGCUCUGUUUCAUCUUCAUGAAGUGAUGAAGAAAAAUGAUAUCAGUGGCUUCUUUGUGACAUUGAAUAUGGGAGGUGGAGAGGAAUGGAAAGGGAUUUUCUCCUGCCGUGUGUUCUGGGGGCUCUUCGUUUUAAGCUUCAAAGAGAGUCUGUAACCACUAAGAGUUGCCUCAGUUUUACUUACACAGUGCCUUUUGACGCGACCAAAAAUCAUAUAGAAAGAACCUCUUUUGACGCGCUCUAGCUCUCUGGAUUCGAUCCCUAAGUACUACAACUAAACUUAUUUUGACGAGUGUAAAGUUUCUCACAGGUAAAUUGAGCAUGUAUCAGACUAUGAUAUGUUUAUGGUUGUUUUGUUCGGCACAAAAAAAUAUUAUUAUUUUCUCUUGUAAUAUCAACACAUAUUUCAUAAUGAACAUGUGAUAGGCUAUGGAUUUUACCCAUUUUUAACUAUGGUUUGUAAGUGUUUUAAUAACUAACUAGAUAAUAACCCGCGCCUUGCGCGGGAUGUGAUUAUUAGUUUUGUUAUUUUUAAUAAAAACACACUAAAUUUGUUUAAUCUGGAUAUCGGUUCGGUUUUAAGUUAUUUUUUUGGUUUUUAAUCUCCUAAAAUAUAACCAUUAUUUUAAAUUAAUAUUUAUUUUGGUUUGUUCUGUUAGAAUGUUUGAUUUUUUAGUUUUUUUUGGUAAAAACCAAAAAUUACUAUUAUUUGUUUAUUUUCAUGUUAUAAAUUUAAGAUAAUCGUCAUGUCGAACCAAUGUUUUUAUAUCAUAGUUUGUAAGCGGAUAAUAGUUCAAGAAAAAGAAAAGAAAAUUAUUAAGAUAAAUCAUUUCACUACAAUUUGGUCGGUAGUGAAAGACGCAUUAAGAAAAAAAAUAUUUCAACUUCCAAAAAAAAAUAGAUACUUCAGUGGUGGCAGUGGUGGUAAA